rnacentral:rRNA from 1 species
UACGUAGGGACCAAGCGUUGUUCGGAUUUACUGGGCGUAAAGGGCGCGUAGGCGGCAAUUCAAGUCAUCUGUGAAAUCUCCGGGCUUAACUCGGAACGGUCAGAUGAUACUGCUUUGCUCGAGUGCGGAAGGGGCAAUCGGAAUUCUUGGUGUAGCGGUGAAAUGCGUAGAUAUCGAGAGGAACACCUGCGGCGAAGUCGGGUAGCUGGGCCGACACUGACGCUGAGACGCGAAAGCGUGGGGAGCAAACAGG